CGCGGAGCCCCCGCCGCCUGCCGGGGCCGCCAUCUUCCGCUCACGUGACCCGCCGCCGCCAGCUCGACUUCAAACAACUUUAUCGGCAACAGCCGCCUAUCUCCCACCCUCAUCUUCCUGAGCUCCCACCUACCUGCGUGACCCAGCAGAUAUUGCUGGGAAAUGACCACUGAUACGGCCCCGCAAGGACACAACCCUUUCCUGUAUUGCGGCAGAUGGUGCAGCCACCAAGUUGCAAGUGCUACCAUGAUGCCAACCUGACUUCCCUGGGCAGACGACCUCACCAAUGUUUCUGUAACCCCAGCUCCCCAGAGCCCUGCCCCAUGAAGGAAAAGAUAGACACAAGCUGGGGGUAUGGAUCGGCCUGCCAAUGUCCAUGUCCAGUGGAGAAACAAUUACAGAAACCAGACCUUCUACCUUCUGUAUUCCAUAAUGAUCCUUGGUCUAGAAUCCCAGAGGGAUAAAGAAUAGGAAACCUUUCAAGGAAGGGGAUGGAAUAUGGAACUCUGGUAGUAGAAACUGUGUGGAAUUAUACCCCUCUUAUCCUAUGGUCUUGUUGAUAUUUCUUAUUUUAUGAAUAAAUUUUUUUUAAAAAAGAACAAAGGCAAGGCAUAGCAUAUGCCCUUCCCAGUGA